GGAUGUGAGGGCGAUCUGGCCGCGACAUCUGUCACUGCAUUGAUCGCCAAGGUUGAUUCGGCUGAUCUGACUGGCUAGGUGGGUGUCCCCUUCCCCUCUCACUGCUCCAUGUAUGUCCCUUCUGAAGCUGCAUGCUCCGUUGAAGAGAAGGACCAGUCCUGCUGGAGGAAGACCGUUCUUCCAUCAAGGGCAUACAAGUAACUGCACUUCCUUGUUAAAGCUUCCAAGCUAGCUUGGUUUGUUUGUAGGAGAACGUAGGGUAGUCAAGCUUCCAAGACUCCUGACACAAUGAAGUGAGGCGCUGCCUUCUGUCUU
rnacentral:snRNA from 1 species